AAAGGGCUUUUAAAAGGGGUGUGGAGGACAUCCAAUUUACAAGUGAUUUCUGUAGGGGUUUCAUGUGGGUACAUUCCAGCUGGGUAAGAGCAUUGAUAAACUGGCCCUGGUAAACGUAGCAGCCACAGGUUUUGCUGCUGCUCUGCUCCUCUGCCAUUGGUUGCCAGAACUGAUAGAAAGGGGCCAUACCUCUGCUUAACCUGCUUCAGUUCUCACCCAGGUAUCUUGGCUCCUUUGAAAGGCCCCUGAUGCUUUAAGAAACUGUCACUGUGUCCAACGUAGAAGACAUCCUGUGCGACUGACGCUUAUUCUGAAUGGUGAACCUCAGCUCCUCUUUCACCAGUGGGGUUAGAUUUGUGAAAUCAUCAAACCCCAGUGACCCUGCGGGGGACAAAGUGGGAACAAUUGCGGAGGCGCUGACUUCUAAUGCAGACACCUGGCCUGAGUGUUGGACCAUCAUUUUGCUGAAAGUCAGAAAUGGCCCUAUAAUUUCCAGCUGAAGUCCUCCCAGCAUUAUCUACCGUUUAGCAGCAUUCAACUGUUCAACUCGUUUAAAAAGGGUAAUUCCAGAUGGCACCAAACCCCUCACUGCUAGCAGAAACUUCAGCUACGUUCACUAAAUAGUCUCUGGCUGCCGGUGAUGGCUUCAUCCAAUUGUGUAUAACUCAAUCAACCCAGGAGUCUUUAAUUAAUGGUUAAACUGUUUGUCCAGCCUACAAAAGAAUUCAUUGGGCUAAUAAUUUUCAAGCUCUGGUGGUUUAUUCAAUUACCUUUCAGUUUAGGUGAACUUUUAGUUAAGG